rnacentral:tRNA from 1 species
GCCCAGGUGGCGGAAUUGGUAGACGCGCUAGCUUGAGGGGCUAGUGGGAGUUAUUUUCCCGUGGAAGUUCGAGUCUUCUCCUGGGCA